rnacentral:rRNA from 1 species
UGCAGUCGAGCGAACAGACGAGGAGCUUGCUCCUCUGACGUUAGCGGCGGACGGGUGAGUAACACGUGGAUAACCUACCUAUAAGACUGGGAUAACUUCGGGAAACCGGAGCUAAUACCGGAUAAUWUAUUGAACCGCAUGGUUCAAUAGUGAAAGACGGUUUUGCUGUCACUUAUAGAUGGAUCCGCGCCGCAUUAGCUAGUUGGUAAGGUAACRGCUUACCAAGGCAACGAUGCGUAGCCGACCUGAGAGGGUGAUCGGCCACACUGGAACUGAGACACGGUCCAGACUCCUACGGGAGGCAGCAGUAGGGAAUCUUCCGCAAUGGGCGAAAGCCUGACGGAGCAACGCCGCGUGAGUGAUGAAGGUCUUCGGAUCGUAAAACUCUGUUAUUAGGGAAGAACAAAUGUGUAAGUAACUAUGCACGUCUUGACGGUACCUAAUCAGAAAGCCACGGCUAACUACGUGCCAGCAGCCGCGGUAAUACGUAGGUGGCAAGCGUUAUCCGGAAUUAUUGGGCGUAAAGCGCGCGUAGGCGGUUUUUUAAGUCUGAUGUGAAAGCCCACGGCUCAACCGUGGAGGGUCAUUGGAAACUGGAAAACUUGAGUGCAGAAGAGGAAAGUGGAAUUCCAUGUGUAGCGGUGAAAUGCGCAGAGAUAUGGAGGAACACCAGUGGCGAAGGCGACUUUCUGGUCUGUAACUGACGCUGAUGUGCGAAAGCGUGGGGAUCAAACAGGAUUAGAUACCCUGGUAGUCCACGCCGUAAACGAUGAGUGCUAAGUG